GAUGAACGCUGGCGGCGUGCCUAAUACAUGCAAGUCGAGCGAACAGACGAGGAGCUUGCUCCUCUGACGUUAGCGGCGGACGGGUGAGUAACACGUGGAUAACCUACCUAUAAGACUGGGAUAACUUCGGGAAACCGGAGCUAAUACCGGAUAACAUGUUGAACCGCAUGGUUUAACGGUGAAAGACGGUCUUGCUGUCACUUAUAGAUGGAUCCGCGCCGCAUUAGCUAGUUGGUAAGGUAACGGCUUACCAAGGCAACGAUGCGUAGCCGACCUGAGAGGGUGAUCGGCCACACUGGAACUGAGACACGGUCCAGACUCCUACGGGAGGCAGCAGUAGGGAAUCUUCCGCAAUGGGCGAAAGCCUGACGGAGCAACGCCGCGUGAGUGAAGAAGGUCUUCGGAUCGUAAAACUCUGUUAUUAGGGAAGAACAAAUGUGUAAGUAACUAUGCACGUCUUGACGGUACCUAAUCAGAAAGCCACGGCUAACUACGUG
rnacentral:rRNA from 1 species